rnacentral:rRNA from 1 species
GACAGAGGGUGCAAACGUUGUUCGGAAUUACUGGGCGUAAAGCGCGUGUAGGCGGCUAAGUAAGUCGGGCGUGAAAUCCCACGGCUCACCGUGGAAGUGCACUCGAAACUGCAUAGCUAGAGUCCUGGAGAGGAAGGUGGAAUGCUUGGUGUAGAGGUGAAAUUCGUAGAUAUCAAGCGGAACACCGGUGGCGAAGGCGGCCUUCUGGACAGUGACUGACGCUGAGACGCGAAAGCGUGGGGAGCAAACAGG